rnacentral:rRNA from 1 species
UACAGAGGUCUCAAGCGUUGUUCGGAUUCAUUGGGCGUAAAGGGUGCGUAGGCGGCGCGGUAAGUCGGGUGUGAAAUCUCGGGGCUUAACUCCGUAACUGCAUUCGAUACUGCCGUGCUUGAGGACUGGAGAGGAGACUGGAAUUUACGGUGUAGCGGUGAAAUGCGUAGAUAUCGUAAGGAAGACCAGUGGCGAAGGCGGGUCUCUGGACAGUUCCUGACGCUGAGGCACGAAGGUCAGGGGAGCAAACGGG